rnacentral:rRNA from 1 species
AUUGAACGCUGGCGGCAGGCCUAACACCUGCACGUCGAACGAGUGGCGGACGGGUGCGUAAUAACUGGGACACAGCCUUAUGGUGGGGGAUACCUAAUGGAAACGUUAGAUAAAAACGCAUACAAUACACUGUGCCCAGAUGGGAUUAGCUAGUAGGUGGGGUAAAGGAUCACCUAGGCGACGAUCCCUAGAUGGUAUAGGAGGAUGACCAGCCACACUGGAACUGUGAAACGGUCCAGACUCCUACGGGAGGCAGAAGGGGGGAAUAUUGGACAAUGGGCGCAAGCCUAAUACAGCCGUGCCGCGUGUAUAAAGAAGGCCUUCGGGUUGUAAAGUACUUUCAGCGGGGAGGCAUGACACGCAGAAGAGGCACCGGCUAACUCCGUGCCAGCAGCCGCGAUAAUUC